AACAGAAUAUGAUGUUUUGCAAAUAUUUCCAAUUGAAUAAAGCUGAUGACAUAUUAAAUGCCCAAACUGAUUCUUUU